AUUGAACGCUGGCGGCAUGCUUUACACAUGCAAGUCGAACGGUAACAGGUUAAGCUGACGAGUGGCGAACGGGUGAGUAAUGCAUCGGAACGUGCCCGAUCGUGGGGGAUAACGCAGCGAAAGCUGCGCUAAUACCGCAUACGAUCUGAGGAUGACAGCGGGGGAACGUAAGGCCUCGCGCGAUCGGAGCGGCCGAUGUCAGAUUAGGGAGGUGGUGGGGUAAAGGCUCACCAAGCCGACGAUCUGUAGCUGGUCUGAGAGGACGACAAGCCACACUGGGACUGAGACACGGCCCAGACUCCUACGGGAGGCAGCAGUGGGGAAUUUUGGACAAUGGGCGCAAGCCUGAUCCAGCAAUGCCGCGUGCAGGAAGAAGGCCUUCGGGUUGUAAACUGCUUUUGUACGGAGCGAAGAGGCUUUCUCUAUUACAGGAGGCUGAUGACGGUACCGUAAGAAUAAGCACCGGCUAACUACGUGCCAGCCGCCGCAGUAAUAC
rnacentral:rRNA from 1 species